UAAGUUAUUAGAAGAGCAUGGUGGCACGUCCGAUAUGAUACUAAAGAUGUUCGAUGCUCCAAUAGAGAUAGUUAAUACCAUGUGUAAGAUCAAGAUGAUCGCAAGAGAAGAGUAGCGUUUGGUUCGGGUAUAAGCAACAACUAGUAAUUACAGAGAUAGAUACAAGUAUGGGGAUAAAAAAAAUAGCGUUUGGAUGAAAAUUCGGUUGUUCCUGGGGAUAAGAAAAAUAGCGUUUGAAUAGAUAAUAGGGAAUAAGAAAAAUAGUUGAUAGUUAUAUAUAGAAAAUAGAGGUGUUAGUAGGGAUAGUUUUACCGGGUUAUUUCAGGUACCGAGAACUACCAUUCUCCAGUAAAAAAAUUUGCAUUUGGGUAUAAGGGCCCGUUUGGUUUGAGUUAUGUAAUAUUACAAAGUAUCUCGACAUAUCCAGGUAUCUUGGAUUUCGGCGUGAGAUUACUAUUGAUGCUGCAUUAGCACGUUGGGUUUAAUGCAGUAAUGUAAUACUAGAUUACAGUGUUUAUAGCAUUAAUACGAUUGGUUCAGUUUAUAAAAUUUAGUAAUCCUGACAUAAAAGUAUAGUUUUUUCCAAAAUUGCCCUUAUUGUAGUUAUUUGAAUAUUAUUUUUUGCGGAAAUGACGAAUGGAGGGAAGACCUGGGAGGACGACGCAAUAGAAGAUAGGUGUUCGUGCGAGAGAGAGAAAGAGAUAGAGAUAGAGAUAGAGAUAGAGAAAGAGAGAGACGUGCGAGAGAGAGAGAGCGAGAGAAAGCGGCGUGCGAGAGAGAGGGGGAAGGCGAGAGAGAUGAAAAUAAUGCUGCUAAUUAGAUUUGGGGUUAUUGGAGGGUAAAAUUGUCAUUUUACAUAAUAUGUAGUAUUAACGGAUUUCAGUAAUGCAAGAUUCACGACCCCCCUCCCGUUAAUAUUUUUGAUGUAAUCCUGCUCUAUUUGUAAUGCUAUAUUAACGACUAGAUUACAUAGCGGAUUAGCUAAAUACAGUUAUGCUGGCAGGAUUGCCUGUAAUCCUGUCAGGAUAACUCGAACCAAAUGUACCCUAAAGGGGAUAAGAGGUUAUUCCCCCCUUCUCCCCAAUCCAAACCCUGCCUAGGGAGCAAAGUGAGAAGAAGGUAAAGGUUUGUGACAAACUGCGCAAUUAAUUUAAUUUUUAGAGAAGAGAGGGAUCAAAAGAAAAAAGAG
rnacentral:lncRNA from 1 species